GGGAAUGUGGCUCAAUGGUAGAGUGCUUGCCUCACAUGCAUGAGGCCCUAAGUUUGAUUCUUCAGUAUCA
rnacentral:tRNA from 1 species